CUUAUAUAUAAAUGUAAGCAAAAAUGUAGAUAUUUCCGUGUUAUUAAAUGUGUUAAAAUAUAUGGAUGGCAUUUAUCAACGAACUGAUAACACAACACAUGUGAGCAAAAUUACGUCGAACGUUAACUAAGCGCGCAAGCCAGUAGGCAAAUAUUGGCCUGAAGCCGAUUGAUAUUGAAUUCGUGAAACAUUUUUAAGAAUUGCUAAAAUGCUAGUACUCUAUUUGCGAAUAAAGCAGUUAAUAGGACGCCACAGAACGGGGCAGAACGCAUUGUUUACCAUUAUAUACUCAAAGCUAAUUUAAAUUUUAUAUUUUGCUAGCUAAAUUUAGUUGUAUUUAUUUAAAUAAUUGAUUUAUGUGUUAAAUAUGGUUGUAACAUGUGAAAUUGAGUUUGAUAAUAAUCCCUUCGGCAUCUAUUUUGCUGGACAAAUUAUGACGGGUAAAAUUACGCUGCAAGCCGACAUGCCGAAGCAGGUGAAAGGGAUCGUGCUGAAAAUUACGGGCGACGCAAACACAAGCUGGGAAGAGCAUUCUAACAGAUCAACAACCGAUGCACAUGGACGUUCGAGCACUGAAAGCCAUACAACAUACUACCGAGGUCACGAGGAUUAUAUAAAAUCGAAGACCUACCUGCUUAGCUCCAGCGAAAACCAAUCUUCCGUAAUUGAGCCCGGCAUACAUACCUACACUUUUGCCUGCCAAUUACCCCCCACCUGUCCUUCAUCCUUCGAAGGCCAUUAUGGUUAUAUACGAUAUUUGGUUAAGGUGGAACUCGUGCGACCAUGGAAGUUCAAUCAGCAUUUUACGCGCGGUUUUACGGUACUGAAAGUGAUGGAUCUGAACUACGACAGUCCUUUAUUGCGAGUGCCUUGCAAAUCGGAAGCACAAAAGGUCUUCUGUUGUUGGCCUUGUAAAACACAGCCAUUAAAGAUGCACGUUUCCCUGCCACAAAGUGGCUAUGUGCCUGGACAAGCGAUACCAGUUAGCGUACUCAUAGCAAACGAAUCGAAUAUAAAAGUCGAAGAACUCAAAAUAGAAUUGGUAAUGCUCGUUUGCUAUUACAGUCAAGUACCAUUGACACAUACGAAGAAUGAACGCAUAGCGGUGCUUAAGUUGAAAGGUGAUGGCGUGUCGGUGCAUUGCAAGAAACAAUUCAACUACACACUUGUGGUGCCGGCUACACCGCCUACAUGUUUCAAUCUAUGCCGCAUCAUACAAAUUGCCUAUCAAGUGGAGGUUGUGGCCAAAGUGAAAGGUUGGCACGCGGAUCAGGUCAUCUGUGUGCCAGUGACAAUAGGCAAUGUGCCGUUGCUCGGCGUCAUACAAAAUCAGCCAUUGGCAUCAGCUGAAAACCUUGUCCCUAGCAACAGUAUUAAUGGUGUUAUGAACCAUUCGUACGUGGCGGAUGAGGAGAGCGGCGAUAUUGGCGAAAAGAAGUUCACCGAAAUUGACCAACUGCAGUCUACCGUACAAGAGAACCCGAUACAAGUAAACAGUGGUGCUGCGACAAGUACUGCUACAAUGGCAGCUGCACCGCCAAGUCCCUGGGCCGCAGAUGCCAGUAUACUACCUCCAACGAUACCUUUUUCUUUUGUUUUCGUUUAUCUAACGGUAACUUUUGAGAAAUAUUAACUUUGUACCCAGAACAGGGCAUUUGCGCAAAAUUUGGCAACAAACAUGCCUUUGGCCAUAAGUAAUUUUUAAAGUGCUAAAAGAGACCCCAAUUAGUCACGAACGACGCUAAAAAUUGCAAAUAUUGUGAGGCAGGAUAUAAUACUUGUAGAUCCACAUACGCAUAAUAAGAUGAAAGAGAACAUGGAUGUGACACUAUUGUGCUAGAAUUUUGUUUAAUCAAACAUGAAGAAAGAUUUAGGAUAGGGUGAGCUUAUGAAAUCAGGAAUUUCAAGCGGGUAUUCUAACGAAAAGGAAGUUUAGUGUCGCGCAGGAACACCGCCGUCUUAUGAAGCCGCACUGCAUAUGAAACCAGCAAAACUUUCCAUUGAUGAAGGGCAAGAAUAUGGCGAAACCGAAUUUGCACCACGUUAUCCUGUCUUCAAGAUACCAAGCGCGUCAGGCAGAGACGACGUUGAUGCCGAGCCAAAGAUUGAUGAUGUAGCGACUAACGGUGUU